rnacentral:rRNA from 1 species
GACGAACGCUGGCGGCGUGCUUAACACAUGCAAGUCGAACGGAGAAGCGCUUUCCUUUUUGGUUGGUGUGGAUGAGUGGCGAAGGGGUGAAUAACACGUGACUAACCUGCCCCCUUCUUUAGGAUAACCGCAUGAAAGCGUGGCUAAUAUAGGAUAUUCUGGGUCUUUCUCAUGAUUGGUCUGGUACAGAUGUUGCGUCGGUGGGGGAUGGGCUCGCGGUGUAUGAGCUUGUUGGGGCGGUGAUGGCCUACGACGGCGAGGAGGGGUGGCCGGCCUGAGAGGGUGUGCGGCCACAUUGGGACUGAGAGACGGGCCAGAAGCCUAGGUGAGGCAGCAGUGGGGACUAUGCCACUAUGGGGCGAAGGCGGAUGCGGUGACGCCGUGCGGGUGAUGAAGCCCUUUCGGGUGUAAACCGUGUUUGCCUGGUAUGUGGCUUGAUUGACGGUAACUGGUUAAGAAGCACCGGCUAACUACGUG